rnacentral:rRNA from 1 species
GACCUCAAAUCGGGUGAGACUACCCGCUGAACUUAAGCAUAUCAAU